GUGUAGUAUGAAAGGAGAGAUGUUUAGCACUCCCCUAGACAAGGACGGAAUACACAUAAAUGGUAAUGGCACUGUCGCUUUCAGCGACAAAUUACCACAAAUUUUU